rnacentral:rRNA from 1 species
UACGUAGGGGGCGAGCGUUGUCCGGAAUUAUUGGGCGUAAAGAGCGUGUAGGCUGUUCGGUAAGUCUGCCGUGAAAACCUGAGGCUCAACCUCGGGCGUGCGGUGGAUACUGCCGGGGCUAGAGGACGGUAGAGGCGAGUGGAAUUCCCGGUGUAGCGGUGAAAUGCGCAGAUAUCGGGAGGAACGACCAGUAGCGAAGGC